UAAAGUCUAACCUGCCCACUGAAAAUUUUUAAAUGGCCGCAGUAUUUUAACUGUGCAAAGGUAGCAUAAUCAUUAGUCUUUUAAUUGAAGGCUGGAAUGAAUGGUUGGACGAAAUAUUAACUGUUUCAUUUAAAUUUUUUAUAGAAUUUUAUUUUUUAGUCAAAAAGCUAAAAUUUAUUUAAAAGACGAGAAGACCCUAUAAAUCUUUAUAUUUUAUUUAUUUUAAUUAUAAAGAUUAUUUUUAUUAUAAUAAAUAAAAAUAUUUUAUUGGGGUGAUAUUAAAAUUUAAAAAACUUUUAAUGAUUAAAAUCAUUAAUGUAUGAAUAUUUGAUCCAUUAAUAAUGAUAAAAAAUUUAAGUUACUUUAGGGAUAACAGCGUAAUUUUUUUGGAGAGUUCAUAUCGAUAAAAAAGAUUGCGACCUCGAUGUUGGAUUAAGAUAUAAUUUUGGGUGUAGCGGUUCAAAUUUUAAGUCUGUUC
rnacentral:rRNA from 1 species